CGCGUAGGCGGCCUUCUAAGUCGAACGUGAAAUCCCUGGGCUCAACCCAGGAGCUGCGUCCGAUACUGGAAGGCUUGAAUCCGGGAGAGGGAUGCGGAAUUCCAGGUGUAGCGGUGAAAUGCGUAGAUAUCUGGAGGAACACCGGUGGCGAAGGCGGCAUCCUGGACCGGUAUUGACGCUGAGGCGCGAAAGCCAGGGAGCAAACG
rnacentral:rRNA from 1 species